UACGAAGGGGGCUAGCGUUGCUCGGAAUUACUGGGCGUAAAGGGCGCGUAGGCGGACAGUUUAGUCAGAGGUAAAAGCCCAGGGCUCAACCUUGGAACUGCCUUUGAUACUGGAGAGCUUGAGUCCGGAAGAGGUGAGUGGAACUCCGAGUGUAGAGGUGAAAUUCGUAGAUAUUCGGAAGAACACCAGUGGCGAAGGCGGCUCACUGGUCCGGUACUGACGCUGAGGUGCGAAAGCGUGGGGAGCAAACAGG
rnacentral:rRNA from 1 species